rnacentral:rRNA from 3 species
GCUUGCUGCUUUGCUGACGAGUGGCGGACGGGUGAGUAAUGUCUGGGAAACUGCCUGAUGGAGGGGGAUAACUACUGGAAACGGUAGCUAAUACCGCAUAACGUCGCAAGACCAAAGAGGGGGACCUUCGGGCCUCUUGCCAUCGGAUGUGCCCAGAUGGGAUUAGCUAGUAGGUGGGGUAACGGCUCACCUAGGCGACGAUCCCUAGCUGGUCUGAGAGGAUGACCAGCCACACUGGAACUGAGACACGGUCCAGACUCCUACGGGAGGCAGCAGUGGGGAAUAUUGCACAAUGGGCGCAAGCCUGAUGCAGCCAUGCCGCGUGUAUGAAGAAGGCCUUCGGGUUGUAAAGUACUUUCAGCGGGGAGGAAGGGAGUAAAGUUAAUACCUUUGCUCAUUGACGUUACCCGCAGAAGAAGCACCGGCUAACUCCGUGCCAGCAGCCGCGGUAAUACGGAGGGUGCAAGCGUUAAUCGGAAUUACUGGGCGUAAAGCGCACGCAGGCGGUUUGUUAAGUCAGAUGUGAAAUCCCCGGGCUCAACCUGGGAACUGCAUCUGAUACUGGCAAGCUUGAGUCUCGUAGAGGGGGGUAGAAUUCCAGGUGUAGCGGUGAAAUGCGUAGAGAUCUGGAGGAAUACCGGUGGCGAAGGCGGCCCCCUGGACGAAGACUGACGCUC